GGCGUCGGAUUAUUGGGCGUAAGCGCGCGCAGGCGGUUUCUUAAGUCUGAUGUGAAAGCCCCCGGCUCAACCGGGGAGGGUCAUUGGAAACUGGGGAACUUGAGUGCAGAAGAGGAGAGUGGAAUUCCACGUGUAGCGGUGAAAUGCGUAGAGAUGUGGAGGAACACCAGUGGCGAAGGCGACUCUCUGGUCUGUAACUGACGCUGAGGCGCGAAAGCGUGGGGAGCGAACAGGAUUAGAUACCCUGGUAGUCCACGCCGUAAACGAUGAGUGCUAAGUGUUAGAGGGUUUCCGCCCUUUAGUGCUGCAGCAAACGCAUUAAGCACUCCGCCUGGGGAGUACGGUCGCAAGACUGAAACUCAAGAAAAUUUGACGGA
rnacentral:rRNA from 1 species